AGGUUUGCCAGGACAAAAGGUUUAUUUGUCUGCUUGCAUUUUUCAUGAGUCAACAACAACAACAAAAAGCUAUUCUGUUAUAAUAAAUACUAAAAACAGAAAUCACAGUCUUACUAAAGUUAACAUCACAUUAGAGUUCUAAUUGAGAACAAAACAGGAUUAUCAAAAACUAUACAGAGUUUAAAGGAAGAACAAAAACAGAGUUUUCAAUAUGCAGUCAGUAUUAUAAAAAUCAUAAAUCACUGAAAUUUUCUGUUUCCAAAUGAAAUAGGAUUCAAGAUCACAAAUACCCUAAAACUAUACAUCUACCAAUGUAAGUUUAUAAUGAAUUGACAGAUGUCUGAUUACGUUGGG
rnacentral:lncRNA from 1 species